rnacentral:rRNA from 1 species
CAGUCGCCGCGGGAAUACGUAGGUGGCAGGCGUUGUCCGGAAUUGUUGGGCGUAAAGCGCGCGCAGGCGGAUAGGUCAGUCUGUCUUAAAAGUUCGGGGCUUAACCCCGUGAUGGGAUGGAAACUGCCAAUCUAGAGUAUCGGAGAGGAAAGUGGAAUUCCUAGUGUAGCGGUGAAAUGCGUAGAUAUUGGGAGGAACACCAGUGGCGAAGGCGGCUUUCUGGACUGCAACUGACGCUGAGGCUCGAAAGCCAGGGGAGCGAACGGGAUUAGAUACCCCUGUAGUCCCUGUCUCUUAUACC